ensembl:lncRNA
GCUCCACUGCCCUGACCAUAGACAGGUUCUUCUGCAUAUUAAUAUGGAACUUCCUUUGUUCAGUUGUGGGGUUACUGUGAGGUCACGGCUUGAACUGGUGAUGGAGCACCUGUGAGGGAGUGCAGCUGGCCCAGGGUGCACAGGCACAUUGUUUGCACCUGUGCUCCCUAUGCAACCAGAAGGGGUGGACACAGAGUAGAGCCCCAGCUGGGCUCAUAUAAGGCCCAGCCCCAGGAGGGGAAGGUUUCUUGGACGUGGGCUGCUUCUUGGGAAGGAGUGCUGCGUGGCUGAAGAUCCCCUUCACCAGUAGGAUCUCGAAGGCAGCUCUCAGGAGCUAAGGGCAGCUCUCCACCCAUGCUUUCAUGUUCAGCUUUUCAUAUCUGCUUAAAUGCAUUGUGACAUUCUUUUCUUUAUGAAUCGAUAGCCAUUGGCUGCAGCCUGCAGGAAGAGAGCCAUUUUAUGUGCUUAUCCAUCCCCUAUGAGAGAGAGGAGGUAUAUUUUCCUACAGUACACUCCAUGCAAGUGCAUCUGUUGCAUCUCUCAUCUGAGUAUCUCCAAGUCCUCUGCAAACUGUAAUGCAAUCAGUGUGUUGCAUGAUGAGUCAAUGAGAAGAAUAAGGGGCAAUAAGAGACCAACUCCUGCUUCUUUUAUGAGCCCAGAGACAAGCAUAUAUUUGUCUCUUGCUGAACAAUGAGAAGUCUCUGUUGUAUUACAAUCAUCCUGAAACCAGAAGUGGAACUACAACUCAUAUGUACUCCUGUUUUUCUGCUAAUGUGCUCAAAAUGGGGACAAUUUGGCAAAUAUGCUUCAGUAGAACUGGAGUCCUCAACUAAAAAAACCUUCCCUUGUCAAAGUAGGAGAGUAAGUAGAGAAGGAUAUUAUUCCUAUACUGGUCUCUUGCGUGGCCCAUUGGAAACUCUGUAAGUCUCUUGUGUGACUCUCCAGUGUAAAAUGGGAAAAAAAAAUAUACGUUUUGGUCUCACUUCUGUGUUUCCAUCCAAACCCCAAUUUCCUUCCAUGUCAACCACCUUCUUUGGUGUACCAUUGUGUGAUUCGGUGGGAUUUGCACUGCAUAUGUGCACUUUGUUGUCUCACCUGCUCUUGUUUUGACAUCUCUCCAUGGGCAAACACAGACCAGUAGCACUUUGGAAAGGCUCAGGAAGCUCAGAGGUGUCAUAGGGAGCCCAAAGUGCUGAUCUGUCCGUGAUCACACAAUCAAAGACUCGUGGAAUUGUCUGCGUUGGAAGGGACCCUCCAAGGCCUUCUGAUCCCACUCCCCACAGUGCACAGGGACACCUCAGCCCCAUCAGUGCUCAGAGCCCAUCCCCUGACCUGGGCUGUCUGCAGGGAUGGGGCAGCACGGCCUCUCUGGUCAAUGUGUGCAGUGCUCGCUGCCCGUGCAGUAAGAACCUUUUUUCUUAUAUCCGCUCUAAAUCUCCCCUUUUUCAGUCGGAGGCCGUUUCCCCUUGCCCUACGGGCUGCAGCAGUUCUAAACUGCGGAGCCCUGAGAUUCAACGAGGAGCCCCGCAGCACCUCCCCUCCCCCGUCGCCAACCGAAGCUCGGGAGGGACUGAACUGCAGCCGUUGCUUUGCGGCUCCCGUGCGAAAAGCACGCGGGGUGACCGCUGGCGGGGAGCGCUCGGAGGAGCGGCGUCGUUUCCCAUAGCGAUGCUGACGUCCCCGCACCUGUGCAGCCCGUGGGCUUCCAGCGGCAGCUCUUCGUUCCCCCGGCGGGUCCCGGAGCGAGGCGGGCUGACAAAGAGCGGAGUUUUCUCCCGGGGCGGAAUGAGUGAACCCAUCGCUGCGAACACAGCGCGGGCGGAUUUCGGUGCAAUUAGCUCCGCAAAUACCACGACAUGCAGUCUGCGAGCGGACUAAAAGGUCUCCUAAACAAUUAGGGGACCGCGGCCCCGUGGACCCCUGUCAUGCACAUUAAUGUCACCAGCCUCAGCAGAGGCUACGCGUGCUUUGAUGCCGGGGGAAUCCAGCGUUUGACGACCCCAUAAACUUCGUACCGGUUUUGGUCCCGGCUCCCACGAUUCGGUGGCGUUUUAUUUACUGCGCCUCGUAACGUUUAGUCCAUAAACAAAUAGGGGCUGGGGAGAAGGGCCGGCGUGGGCUUAAUUACCUCAAGUCUCUGCCUCCUCUUUUGUUAUGUGCAUCAUGGAUACUUGGCAGCAUUAACAUUCCUGGAAUUGUAUCUGCCGUCCUUUGUAAAAGGAUUGAAUGCGACGCAUUAGUUCGGGCUCGUGGGGCAUUUGUGUCUCCAACAACAGCUUAAUUAUGGACAUUGUUUACUAAUCAGUAUUAAAUUGACAGACUAUCAGGGCUAAUCUGGAGAUUAACACAAUAGCUUGUUUUCAUUUUGUCCUUCUAGCAGUUUAUUGAAUGCAGGAUUUAAAACAAGACCCUCUUGUGAGCCUUCCCUUCCGCACCGCAGCUGUGUGACCGCGUCCAGACCCG